ACAUCAUUCAAACAGAUUUAGGCCAGUUAUUCUAUCGGACCAAAAUGGUCAAGUAUUGGAGGAGUAAAGUUGUCCACAAACAAAUGAUUGAGUUGAACAUGCGAGAAUGUUGAAGCGAUAGAAGCGAUGGUGGAUGGGUGGUCCGGUAAAGGGAGGCAAACCACCAUUUACUACCACAUAAGACUAUCGGGUGUGGGAUCGUGGAAACGAGGUGUGACCCAAGCUGGCGAAAACCAACGUCGUGGAGCACCACGCCGCAUGCGCAUCGAUAUGACUCCACAAGCGUGGUGGGUUGGCGUGGAGAAUUCCACUGUGAAAAAACAUAUGAGUGGUUUUUUCGAUGGUAUUUUAAUAAUAUUUUCAUUCGCCGAUGAAUUUGAUUUUUCUAUAAUAAGUUAAUAACAGUGGUCGUUAAUUUAAAAUAGCUAAAUACACAAUAAAGAAAUAACUAGUUCUCGUUAAUUUUCAUUCACCGAUGAAUUUGUUUUUUCUAUUGUUGGUUUCAAAAUAAAGUAAAUUUUUGGUCUCGUAUACGACUUCAACUCGCAUAGACUCUAGCUCAACUCGUUUAACUUAGUAAAGCUCACAUUCAACAUUUUUCGAGUUCUCUAUCAAAAGUUUGAGCUUGCUUUGGUAUCCCACUUGUUUUGUAUUUUAUAAUUUUUGUAGGUAAAUUAAGUAUUUUCUUUGUAUAUAAGUUUAUGUUUAUGAUUAUAAGUUGUAUAGCAUUAUAGCAUAAAGGAUUAUUUAGCUAUUUUAUAUAAUAA